rnacentral:rRNA from 1 species
UAGGGAAUCUUCCGCAAUGGACGCAAGUCUGACGGAGCAACGCCGCGUGAGUGAAGAAGGUUUUCGGAUCGUAAAACUCUGUUAUGAGAGAAGAACACCCACUAAUUAACUACUAGUGGUUUGACGGUAUCUCAUCAGAAAGCCACGGCUAACUACGUGCCAGCAGCCGCGGUAAUACGUAGGUGGCAAGCGUUGUCCGGAUUUAUUGGGCGUAAAGCGAGCGCAGGCGGUUUCUUAAGUCUGAUGUGAAAGCCCCCGGCUCAACCGGGGAGGGUCAUUGGAAACUGGGAGACUUGAGUGCAGAAGAGGAGAGUGGAAUUCCAUGUGUAGCGGUGAAAUGCGUAGAUAUAUGGAGGAACACCAGUGGCGAAGGCGGCUCUCUGGUCUGUAACUGACGCUGAGGCUCGAAAGCGUGGGGAGCAAACAGGAUUAGAUACCCUGGUAGUCCACGCCGUAAACGAUGAGUGCUAAGUGUUGGAGGGUUUCCGCCCUUCAGUGCUGCAGCAAACGCAUUAAGCACUCCGCCUGGGGAGUACGACCGCAAGGUUG